rnacentral:lncRNA from 1 species
AUAUCCUCCUUAUCAACUUGCAUUCAUUCUCCGAAAACUAGCAUACCAUUCAAGAUGGCUGCAUUAACAACCCUCUUCACCACCAUGCUGAACACCACCUUCUUAAACCGCCACCAACCUGUUGUCACCAGUCUCCGAGCCAACACUGGUAAAUCCCUUUUCGGGCUCAAGUCAUCCGGACGAGGCCGGGUGACUUGCAUGGCUUACAAAGUGAAGCUGAUUACACCAACAGGUGAGCAUGAAUUCGAGUGUCCAAGUGAUGAGUACAUUCUCGACUAUGCUGAAGAGAAGGGAAUCGAUCUUCCCUUCUCUUGCAGAGCAGGGUCAUGCUCUAGUUGUACAGGAAAAGUUGUUUCGGGCUCGGUGGAUCAAUCAGACCAGAGCUUUCUUGAUGAUGAACAGGUGGAUGCGGGUUAUGUUCUCACUUGUGUGGCUUAUCCUAUCUCUGAUGUAACAAUUCAAACCCACAGGGAGGAGGAUCUUUUUUAAAUAUUUAUUCUUAUGUCCUGAUAUCCUUUGUUACACAAUUCAUAAUCUUCUGUUUGGUUUUUGAUUAUUUACUAUGAAAUGUUUCAUCAUAAAAUCAAAAUAUGAUACUCCGUCCAUCCCAAUGAAUUCUUUACAUUGGGAUUGGGUACCGAGACUAAGAAAAAAUAUAUUAAGUGGUAUAAAAUAAUAAGGGAAAGAAAAGUGGAGAAAGUAGUGAAUCCAUCUAUAUUUAAUGGAUAGAUUUGAAAAUGUAGAUGAACGUAGUGAGUGAGAUUGAGUUUUAUAUAAUAUAAAAUUUUACUAUUUUCGGAAUGUUUUGUAAUUUAUAGAAAUGAGUGGGAUGUCAAAAAAAACUGUAAAGAAUCUAAUGGGACGGAGGGAAUACAAUUCAUUUAAAUCUAUAAAUUGAUUUUAAUUCAUUAAAAUUCGGGUGGAUACACCCCUUGAGAGCAGCUCUGUGCCUCUGUUACAAAGGGGGUUUCCCUUUUGUUAUCAGAAAACCAUCUGUUCUGAGUCUAGAAAUCCUUUACUCAAGGCCAGUCCAUUUCAGAAACUUGUUUGCGUUUGCCUGAAGUAAGUUUUUUUCCAUUUCACCCGAAAUCUCUUUCAUUUUUUACAUCGAAUAUAGUUGAGAAUGUAACAAGAGGUUGAAGAGUGGGUAUAGGAGUAGGGCUCACGUCAAAACCCUGCUUAGUGCUUACCCUGCUUGGCUUGCUGUAGGAAUAACAUGUCAGUCACCAAAGUGUUGGUAUCAAGUUUUGAGUUCGGUCACCAACUUGAUUACUAAUCCAAAAUCUGUUGCAGGGUAUUGGUUAAUAAGGCCCUGUCGCGGAUUAAUAAAAUAAAUAUAAAAUACUACUACAAUGAUUAAUAAUCACUAUAAAUAUUAAAAAAUUUCAUAUUGAAUAGAAAAAUAAGUCACAUAAAUAUAAAAACAAGAAACAUGUAAGCCACAUUUUCUGUAAUAAAAGAAGAGCAAGCUACAGAGCAGCUCAUUAGAUGCACAGAAAGAAGAUAGGAUAAGAUUUCCUCUGAGCUGCUCUACUUCCACACUCCCUCUCCACUCCAGUGAAUUAUACCCUCCUUAUCAACUUGCAUUCAUUCUCCGAAAACUAGCAUUCCAUUCAAGAUGGCUGCAUUAACAACCCUCUCCACCACAAUGCUCAGCACCACCUUCUUAAACCGCCACCAACCUGUUGUCACCAGUCUGCGAGCCAACACGGGUAGAUCCCUUUUCGGGCUCAAGUCAUCUGGCCGAGGCCGGGUGACUUGCAUGGCUUACAAAGUGAAGCUGAUUACACCAACAGGUGAGCUUGAAUUCGAGUGUCCAGAAGAUGCAUACAUUCUCGACCAUGCUGAAGAGCAGGGAAUCGAUCUUCCCUACUCUUGCAGAGCAGGGUCAUGCUCUAGUUGUACCGGGAAAGUUGUUUCAGGCACACUGGAUCAAUCAGACCAGAGCUUUCUUGAUGAUGACCAGAUGAAGGCUGGUUAUGUUCUCACUUGUGUGGCUUAUCCUAC